rnacentral:piRNA from 1 species
UCAAACAAUACCUUUGAGUUGAUGGUCUGU